CUGGGGCUGUUUUGCUGCUUCAGGACCUGGAAGACUUGCUGUGAUAAAUGGAAUCAUUAAUUCUGCUGUUUACCAAAAAAUCCUGAAGGAGAAUACCCGGCCAUCUGUUUUGUAACCUUAGGCUGAAGCGAACUUGGGUUCUGCAUCCAUCCAUCCAUCCAUCCAUCCAUCCAUCCAUCCAUCAGGUUUGGGUCAAACAUUGAUAAAGUGCAAAUAGUAAAUACAUUAAAUGGAAGGUCAUGGUGCAGUAUGUAAGAUAACACUGUACAGGCGUGCCUAAUAUUCAAAACUGCAAAAAAAGUGACAACUUUUCCACAACAGCCUUUUCCCAAACAAAGAUUAAGUCAAAACACCGUUUCACCAUGACUGAGGAUCAUUUGGACCAUUAGCAUUUUUUAAUGGAAACCAGUUUCCUUACAUUUUCGAAGUAAACUCAACUCAUCUGGGCUCAGAGUGCUGGUGUAGAAAAGAGCUCAGUGUGGUGAUGGUGGAUGGAAAAAAGCCGGCCCUGAACCUGAUGUUUCUGGUGUGUAUGUUCCUGUAUCUCCUUCUUGAAGAAGGUUAAAGAGUUUGUGACUGGGAUCUAAGGAGACCCUGAUGAUGUUGUGUGCUCUGUGCAGACAUCUGCUGUGGUGAAGGGACUCAAUAGCAGCUAGUUGUGUUCCAGGCAACAAUAUACUAUUAAAUAGAAACACGGUGAAACUCUAAUCAGCAUGUAGAACUAAGCAGCUGAACUCCUUGGGAUUUAGGAUUGGAGAUGUUCCAGCUCAGUUUGUCUACAGUCCUGUCACUGUUUCCCCCCGAGACGUCCCAGUCACUCACACCGCGCUGCUCGCUCUCUACUCCGGCUCUAUCCGUCCCCGAGCCUCCGAGAGCAUUAGACAUGUGACGUCAUAGGGAGCGAAGAGUGGGCGGGAAACGUGCCUGUUUAUUUAUAUAAAGGCCAGAGCGCGUUACUGUUGCUCACUCGCGUCAGAGAAAACAGCAGUCAUGUAUCAUUUACUAAUGCGGAACAGAAACAACACAAUAAAACAAAUGGAGGAGGGAAAGAAGAAGGAGGAAGAGCCUAAAGUGGAGAAUAAUGCAAACCUGCAGAACAUCACUGAGCUCCAGUCUUCCCCUGAAAAGCAUAAUAACCUGAAGGAGACUUUAGAGUAUGAGAGAGAGAGCUGGAAAGGAGAACAAAAGCAAAAGCAGGAACAAGUGAAGUCUUAUCUGGACGCCAAGGACAGGAACGAAACGCAGAACACGUCCAAGCCCAAUGUGUGGCAGACAAUCACGAAUCAAACGAAGACCACAGAUGAGGGUCAAAAUAUUACGAGGAGAAAUGGAAAGCACCAAUCGUGGAGUUUUCACAGAUAUUACACACGAUAAUAAGAGAGGAGAUCAAGCUGGACAUUACAAUGGAACAUUACAAAAUCCAUCACAUCAUCAGACCAUCACCCCAAGCUUUUCACGACUCUUCCUUCAAAAUAAUCGUACAAUUUUAAGCAUAAAUUGUGUGUCUUGUUUUUUUUCAUCAUUUAAAUCUUCACUCAUCAUCAGAUGCUUGUGAGAAAUAAAUGUAAAUAAAAAAUAUAAAACAAA